GCUCUUUGCUGACGAGUGGCGGACGGGUGAGUAAUGUCUGGGAAACUGCCUGAUGGAGGGGGAUAACUACUGGAAACGGUAGCUAAUACCGCAUAACGUCGCAAGACCAAAGAGGGGGACCUUCGGGCCUCUUGCCAUCGGAUGUGCCCAGAUGGGAUUAGCUAGUAGGUGGGGUAACGGCUCACCUAGGCGACGAUCCCUAGCUGGUCUGAGAGGAUGACCAGCCACACUGGAACUGAGACACGGUCCAGACUCCUACGGGAGGCAGCAGUGGGGAAUAUUGCACAAUGGGCGCAAGCCUGAUGCAGCCAUGCCGCGUGUAUGAAGAAGGCCUUCGGGUUGUAAAGUACUUUCAGCGGGGAGGAAGGGAGUAAAGUUAAUACCUUUGCUCAUUGACGUUACCCGCAGAAGAAGCACCGGCUAACUCCGUGCCAGCAGCCGCGGUAAUACGGAGGGUGCAAGCGUUAAUCGGAAUUACUGGGCGUAAAGCGCACGCAGGCGGUUUGUUAAGUCAGAUGUGAAAUCCCCCGG
rnacentral:rRNA from 1 species